rnacentral:rRNA from 1 species
CGUAGGUGAACCUGUGGAAGGAUCAUUA